ACCAGACUCCUACGGGAGGCAGCAGUGGGGAAUAUUGCACAAUGGGGGAAACCCUGAUGCAGCGACGCCGCGUGAGUGAAGAAGUAUUUCGGUAUGUAAAGCUCUAUCAGCAGGGAAGAAAAUGACGGUACCUGAUUAAGAAGCCCCGGCUAACUACGUGCCAGCAGCCGCGGUAAUACGUAGGGGGCAAGCGUUAUCCGGAUUUACUGGGUGUAAAGGGAGCGUAGACGGUGAUGCAAGUCAGAAGUGAAAGCCCGGGGCUCAACUCCGGGACUGCUUUUGAAACUGUGUGACUGGAGUGCAGGAGAGGUAAGCGGAAUUCCUAGUGUAGCGGUGAAAUGCGUAGAUAUUAGGAGGAACACCAGUGGCGAAGGCGGCUUACUGGACUGUAACUGACGUUGAGGCUCGAAAGCGUGGGGAGCAAACAGGAUUAGAUACCCGAGUACC
rnacentral:rRNA from 1 species